UGGUAGUCCACCCCGUAAACGAUAAGAACUAGCCGUUGGGGAGAAUUAACUUCUCAGUGGCGCAGCUAACGCAUUAAGUUCUCCGCCUGGGGACUACGGCCGCAAGGCUAAAACUCAAAUGAAUUGACGGGGGCCCGCACAAGCGGUGGAGCAUGUGGUUUAAUUCGAUGCAACGCGAAGAACCUUACCUGCCCUUGAAAUCCAGCGAAGUUCCUAGAGAUAGGAAUGUGCCUUCGGGAACGCUGUGACAGGUGCUGCAUGGCUGUCGUCAGCUCGUGUCGUGAGAUGUUGGGUUAAGUCCCGUAACGAGCGCAACCCCUAUCCUUAUUUGCCAGCGCAUAAUGGUGGGAACUAUAAGGAGACUGCCGGUGAUAAACCGGAGGAAGGCGGGGACGACGUCAAGUCAUCAUGGCCCUUACGACCAGGGCUACACACGUGCUACAAUGGGAAGGACAAAGAGCCGCGAGGCCGCGAGGUGUAGCUAAUCUCAGAAACCUUUUCGUAGUCCGGAUUGGAGUCUGCAACUCGACUCCAUGAAGUCGGAAUCGCUAGUAAUCGUAGAUCAGAAUGCUACGGUGAAUACGUUCCCGGGUCUU
rnacentral:rRNA from 1 species